rnacentral:lncRNA from 1 species
CAAAUAGUGAAGCACGUCGAGACAUUGCAUGCUGCACAUCAUGAUCGUGUCGACGACAUCUCCACAUGCACAUUAGUAGCCCAAGUUUUGAUUGAAGGUCAAGAGCAAUACUGUUGUGCAAAUCGUUCUUCUAACUGGGGUAUAGGGGCUAAUUAAAGACUAACUGAACCGUCUAAAAGUUGGUUCCCUAAAAGGUUCCUUCAAGAUAACUAUAGCCCAUAUAUGAACGACUUCUAUCUGGUAAAGCCAAUGAUUAGAAGCAUUGAGAGUGUUGCACCCUCGACCUAUUCUUAAACUUCAAAUUGGUAGGAUGACAUGGCAGUUUUGCCGAGCCCAGCCAUGGAAUCAAGAGCUCCAACUGGGCCAUUUUUUGUAAACAAAUUUACCGAUGCAGGUUGAAUGGGAAGUUAGGUUACAGUGCCCAAAUAUGCUCUAACUUAGAACCCAAAGGGAAAGGGUGUUGGUUGAUUAAGAUAGCAGGACGAUGGUCAUGGUAGUUAAAAUUCGGUAAGGAGUUCGUAACAACUUACCUCCCACAUUAACUAGUUAGAAAAAUGGAUGGUGCUAAGUGCGUGACAUGUACCCGGCCGUCAAAUGUCAAAUCCCAAUAAGUAGUAGAGGACGGCAGUCGUCGGAAAACCAGGAGCCUAGGUGGAGCAACCGUUGAUGAAGAUUUUG